CACCUUUUGUCUAACUUUUAGGAUAACAUUGGCGUUUUCGUGGACCAAAAUGGGAAGCUUCUUCAAGAAGGUCGGAUUUGUUGGUCAGAGGCACCUUCUGUCGUUGUCAUACAGAAGCCCUAUGCCAUUGCUUUGUUGCCAAGAUAUAUUGAGAUUCGGUCUCUCUGGUCUCCAUAUGCAUUGAUACAAACCAUUGUCCUUCGAAAUGGUCGGCAUCUUAUUGACAGUAAUCAUGCUCUGGUUGUUGGUUUAGACAAUUCUGCCUAUGGCCUCUUCCCUGUUCCCCUUGGUGCACAGAUUGUACAACUAACAGCGUCUGGUAACUUUGAGGAAGCGUUGGCUUUAUGCAAGUUGCUUCCACCUGAAGAUUCAAGCCUUCGAUCUGCAAAGGAGAGUUCCAUCCAUAUCAG